GCCAGCGUGGCAUAAUGGUUUGAGUGCUGGACUAUGACUCUGCAGACCAGGGCUCAAUUCCCUGCUCAGCCA